UCUUCGUGCUCGAACUGCUCACGGGCCCCGGCGUCGCCUCAUCCGUCACGGGCACCGCAGCACGCCGUCUCCCUCUCCCACACACACACACACCUCAUCCGCCGUUCUCGCUUCUCAAAGUGUUUCGCUUUCGAACCCCCGUUCAGGUGCCACCCGCAUCCCGGCACCCUCUCCGCGUGCUGCGCGCCGUCUCGGCCACCGGCUACAAGGAGCUUCCUGAAGCGCCGCUCUCGCCCACCCCAUCCGCAAUGAGCGCCAAUCGUGUUCCGACGGUAGUAGCCGGCCUCGAUGGAGCCAACCCGGUGAAGCGAGAGCGCCACCCCGCGUGGUACCCGCCCCUGAAGCUGGACGGCAACGGGCUGAAGGUGAUGAACUCCCUGACAGAGACCCUUGAGGACUUCGCGCCGCGUGAUGGCCGCGUGGUGCGAUGGUACACGUGCGGCCCGACCGUCUACGAUCUCUCUCACAUGGGCCACGCCCGUGCUUACCUCACCUUCGACAUCAUCCGCCGUGUCAUGGAAGACUACUUCGGCUACUCCGUGAUUUAUCAGAUGAACAUCACGGAUAUCGACGACAAGAUCAUCAAGCGCGCUCGCGUGAAUAAGCUGCUGGAUGACUUCAAGGAGGGGGAGCUGCGCCACGGCGACGUGGCGAGGCUCAUGGCGUUCACGGCGGAGGCCGUCACCGCCGCCGAGAGCGGCCUUGCCAAGCGCAAGGCGGCGCUGUUCGAGCCGAUUACCGAAGGCGCCAGCAGCCGCGCCAAGGCGGACCGCGAGGAGAAGUUGCUAGAGGUGCAGCUGAAGGAGUCGCAGCUUGUGGAGACCAAGGUGAAGAUCGCGGCGGCCAAGGAUGACUUUGCCGCCCUGUUCGCCGCGGCCAGCGGCGUGAACGGCGACCUGCUUGACGAGCGCAGCGGCCACAGCGUCUCCGAUCAGCAGAUCUUCGAAGACCACGCCCGAAAAUACGAGCGAGCGUUCUUCGAGGACAUGCAGCGCUUGGGCAUUCGUGAGCCGGACAUCGUGACGCGCGUCACGGAGUACGUGCCGCAGGUGGUGGAGUUCGUGCAGAAAAUCAUCGACAACGGCUUUGCCUACGUCGGCGAGACAUCUGUCUUCUUUGACACCGAGGCAUACAUCAGGGCCGGUCACGACUACCCGAAGCUGAAGCCUGGCGGCGAUCGCAACACCACGGAGGACGAGAUGGCCGAGGGCGAGGGCGUACUUUCGAAAGGCAUCGAGGGCGAGAAGCGCAGCCCGAACGACUUUGCUCUGUGGAAGUUCUCGAAGCCCGGCGAGCCGCGCUGGCCAUCCCCGUGGGGCGAGGGUCGUCCGGGCUGGCACAUCGAGUGCUCCGUGAUGGCGUCCGACAUUCUCGGCGAGAACAUGGACAUCCACAGCGGUGGGUGGGACUUGAAGUUUCCGCACCACGACAACGAGUGCGCGCAGAGCGAGGCGUGCAACCUGCACAGCCAGUGGGUGAACUACUUCCUCCACUGCGGCCAUCUCCACAUCAAGGGGCUGAAGAUGAGCAAGAGCCUCAAGAACUUCAUCACCAUCCGCCAGGCGCUGGACGAACUCGGCGUCACGGCGCGCACGAUGCGGCUGCUGUUCCUUGCAAAUCCCUGGAACAAGCCGAUGAACUUCUCGGACCAGUCGCUCGACGAGGCGAAGGAAAAGGAGCGGGUCCUGCGCGCCUUCUUCGGCAGCGUCGACAUUGUCCUCCGCACCGAUAACUGGAAGGCCACGCAGGGUGCCAACAAGCACGACCGCGAGCUGCUGUCCAAGUGGGUCGAGGCCGAGGCAGCCGUGCACGCGGCGUUGCAGGACAACUUUGACACGGUCGUUGCCCUGCAGCAGCUCAUGUCUCUCGUCGCGGCGACGAACCAGUACCUGCUGUCUGGCGAGCGGCCGAGUGCGACGCUGGUGCGCAAGGUAGGCUGCUACGUGACGAAGAUGUUCCGCAUCUUCGGCGUCGUCGAGGGGUCUGACGAUGUCGGCCUGCAGAAGCAGGGCUCCGGCGAUGGCGAAGCGCGCUUCAUCGAGGUCGUGAACACUCUCGUGCGCUUCCGUGAUGAGGUGCGCGAUGCGGCGAAAGACCACAAGGUGGUGGCGGGCUUCCUGCCCUUGUGCGACAAGGUGCGCGAUGAGUGGCUUGUCGACGCUGGCGUACGGCUCGAGGACAACCCGGCGGGCCCGACGACGUGGAAGAGCGACGAGCCGGCGCUGCUGCACAAAGAGCUGGCGGAGCGCCGCGCUCAGCAAGAAGGGGAUCGCCAGAGGAGGCUGGCGAAUCAGGCGGAGACGAAGCGCAAGCUCGUGGAAAAGUGGCGGCAGUUCACCUACCCGCCGUCCGAGUACUUUCGCCUCCAGGACGAGCAACGGGUAGAGAAGAAGUACGCUGCCUACGACGACGUCACCGGCCUCCCAACGAUGACGGCUGCCGGCGAGGAGGUGAGCGAGAAGGAGGCAAAGAAGUUGAGCAAGGAGCAGGCGAAGUACGCCAAGUCGUACGACGAGUUUAUCGGCAAGGGUGGCGUGUCGUGGCUUCAAGAGCAGGAGGCGGAGCUGGCCAGCAUGGUGGCCGAGCUCGAAGGCAGCAAUUAGGCGUCGGUGGCGAAGCGCUCACCCGUGAGCACAAACGUCUCAAGCAACGUCGAGCACAUCCAGGUAACUGGAGGGUGAUCCACCGAUGAGGGCGGCGGCAGGAGGAGAGGUGCGGGAUUAUGGAGACUCGCCUCUUUCCUCGCCUUUCAACACCUCUGCCGUCCGCGAAGCCACGCGCGUUGAGGAGGGUAAUCAUCGGUAGAGCGUGGGAGGGAAGGGCGGCAGUUGAUGGCCGGCAGCGCGCAUCUAGCGUACAAGACGUCGUCGGCGUCAUCGGCAUGGCGCGGAUUUGUUUGCCUCUCUCUCUCUGCCGCCGACGGGCGUGUCAUUUGCAGAGGAGCUGCAUCUGUUUGCCUCCCCCCUCCACACCCUAUUCUUCCACCCUUUCCCCACCGUUGUCGCACUCAGGCGCGCGCUUUAGUAGGCACGAGUGCCGCACACACGCACACGCACGCACGCCCCUCCCCGCCUCCGACGGCAACAAGACAAUGGGCAUGUAAUGCAGCAACGUGUGCUCACCCUUGGUGAGCAUUUAUCCCGCUUCUCCUGUUGUUCUGUUACUUCGGAGGGGGCGUGGAGUGUGUCUGUGUGUGUGAGAGAGAGAGCUUUCCGUGGGUCUCGCACGCCCUCGCCCCAACGGACGGAUGUGGGCCAGUCGUUAUCCUCCGCCUCUCUUCCGUGCGUGAGGGUGUCGAGAGAGGUAGGGCGCACGCGUGUCUGUCAGUGAGGGCGUGCAUGAUGUGGUGACGGGGGCUUGAGUGCAGGCGUGCACGCCCCUCAUGAGGUGGUACCUUAGUGAGAAAACAUAACAUCAAAUGGGAAAGAACAGUACCGACGAAAGCCACGUGCGCCUGUGUGCUGGAGAGGAGGA
rnacentral:misc_RNA from 1 species